rnacentral:rRNA from 1 species
AGCGUACACGGUGGAUGCCCUGGCAGUCAGAGGCGAUGAAGGACGUGCUAAUCUGCGAUAAGCGUCGGUAAGGUGAUAUGAACCGUUAUAACCGGCGAUUUCCGAAUGGGGAAACCCAGUGUGUUUCGACACACUAUCAUUAACUGAAUCCAUAGGUUAAUGAGGCGAACCGGGGGAACUGAAACAUCUAAGUACCCCGAGGAAAAGAAAUCAACCGAGAUUCCCCCAGUAGCGGCGAGCGAACGGGGAGCAGCCCAGAGCCUGAAUCAGUGUGUGUGUUAGUGGAAGCGUCUGGAAAGGCGCGCGAUACAGGGUGACAGCCCCGUACACAAAAAUGCACAUGCUGUGAGCUCGAUGAGUAGGGCGGGACACGUGGUAUCCUGUCUGAAUAUGGGGGGACCAUCCUCCAAGGCUAAAUACUCCUGACUGACCGAUAGUGAACCAGUACCGUGAGGGAAAGGCGAAAAGAACCCCGGCGAGGGGAGUGAAAAAGAACCUGAAACCGUGUACGUACAAGCAGUGGGAGCCUCUUUUAUGGGGUGACUGCGUACCUUUUGUAUAAUGGGUCAGCGACUUAUAUUCUGUAGCAAGGUUAACCGAAUAGGGGAGCCGAAGGGAAACCGAGUCUUAACUGGGCGUUAAGUUGCAGGGUAUAGACCCGAAACCCGGUGAUCUAGCCAUGGGCAGGUUGAAGGUUGGGUAACACUAACUGGAGGACCGAACCGACUAAUGUUGAAAAAUUAGCGGAUGACUUGUGGCUGGGGGUGAAAGGCCAAUCAAACCGGGAGAUAGCUGGUUCUCCCCGAAAGCUAUUUAGGUAGCGCCUCGUGAAUUCAUCUCCGGGGGUAGAGCACUGUUUCGGCAAGGGGGUCAUCCCGACUUACCAACCCGAUGCAAACUGCGAAUACCGGAGAAUGUUAUCACGGGAGACACACGGCGGGUGCUAACGUCCGUCGUGAAGAGGGAAACAACCCAGACCGCCAGCUAAGGUCCCAAAGUCAUGGUUAAGUGGGAAACGAUGUGGGAAGGCCCAGACAGCCAGGAUGUUGGCUUAGAAGCAGCCAUCAUUUAAAGAAAGCGUAAUAGCUCACUGGUCGAGUCGGCCUGCGCGGAAGAUGUAACGGGGCUAAACCAUGCACCGAAGCUGCGGCAGCGACGCUUAUGCGUUGUUGGGUAGGGGAGCGUUCUGUAAGCCUGCGAAGGUGUGCUGUGAGGCAUGCUGGAGGUAUCAGAAGUGCGAAUGCUGACAUAAGUAACGAUAAAGCGGGUGAAAAGCCCGCUCGCCGGAAGACCAAGGGUUCCUGUCCAACGUUAAUCGGGGCAGGGUGAGUCGACCCCUAAGGCGAGGCCGAAAGGCGUAGUCGAUGGGAAACAGGUUAAUAUUCCUGUACUUGGUGUUACUGCGAAGGGGGGACGGAGAAGGCUAUGUUGGCCGGGCGACGGUUGUCCCGGUUUAAGCGUGUAGGCUGGUUUUCCAGGCAAAUCCGGAAAAUCAAGGCUGAGGCGUGAUGACGAGGCACUACGGUGCUGAAGCAACAAAUGCCCUGCUUCCAGGAAAAGCCUCUAAGCAUCAGGUAACAUCAAAUCGUACCCCAAACCGACACAGGUGGUCAGGUAGAGAAUACCAAGGCGCUUGAGAGAACUCGGGUGAAGGAACUAGGCAAAAUGGUGCCGUAACUUCGGGAGAAGGCACGCUGAUAUGUAGGUGAAGUCCCUCGCGGAUGGAGCUGAAAUCAGUCGAAGAUACCAGCUGGCUGCAACUGUUUAUUAAAAACACAGCACUGUGCAAACACGAAAGUGGACGUAUACGGUGUGACGCCUGCCCGGUGCCGGAAGGUUAAUUGAUGGGGUUAGCGCAAGCGAAGCUCUUGAUCGAAGCCCCGGUAAACGGCGGCCGUAACUAUAACGGUCCUAAGGUAGCGAAAUUCCUUGUCGGGUAAGUUCCGACCUGCACGAAUGGCGUAAUGAUGGCCAGGCUGUCUCCACCCGAGACUCAGUGAAAUUGAACUCGCUGUGAAGAUGCAGUGUACCCGCGGCAAGACGGAAAGACCCCGUGAACCUUUACUAUAGCUUGACACUGAACAUUGAGCCUUGAUGUGUAGGAUAGGUGGGAGGCUUUGAAGUGUGGACGCCAGUCUGCAUGGAGCCGACCUUGAAAUACCACCCUUUAAUGUUUGAUGUUCUAACGUGGACCCGUAAUCCGGGUUGCGGACAGUGUCUGGUGGGUAGUUUGACUGGGGCGGUCUCCUCCUAAAGAGUAACGGAGGAGCACGAAGGUUGGCUAAUCCUGGUCGGACAUCAGGAGGUUAGUGCAAUGGCAUAAGCCAGCUUGACUGCGAGCGUGACGGCGCGAGCAGGUGCGAAAGCAGGUCAUAGUGAUCCGGUGGUUCUGAAUGGAAGGGCCAUCGCUCAACGGAUAAAAGGUACUCCGGGGAUAACAGGCUGAUACCGCCCAAGAGUUCAUAUCGACGGCGGUGUUUGGCACCUCGAUGUCGGCUCAUCACAUCCUGGGGCUGAAGUAGGUCCCAAGGGUAUGGCUGUUCGCCAUUUAAAGUGGUACGCGAGCUGGGUUUAGAACGUCGUGAGACAGUUCGGUCCCUAUCUGCCGUGGGCGCUGGAGAACUGAGGGGGGCUGCUCCUAGUACGAGAGGACCGGAGUGGACGCAUCACUGGUGUUCGGGUUGUCAUGCCAAUGGCACUGCCCGGUAGCUAAAUGCGGAAGAGAUAAGUGCU